rnacentral:rRNA from 1 species
GAUCCUGGCUCAGGACGAACGCUGGCGGCGCGCCUAACACAUGCAAGUCGAACGAGCGAGAGAGAGUUUACUUUUUCGAGCGAGUGGCGAACGGGUGAGUAACGCGUGAGGAACCUGCCUCAAAGAGGGGGACAACAGUUGGAAACGACUGCUAAUACCGCAUAAGCCCACGGCUCGGCAUCGAGCAGAGGGAAAAGGAGCAAUCCGCUUUGAGAUGGCCUCGCGUCCGAUUAGCUGGUUGGUG